rnacentral:rRNA from 1 species
CCGGACCCCACUGCUAUCGGGAUAGGACUAAGACAUGCUAGUUGAGCGCUUCCAGCCAAUACGGGAGCGCAGCGCACAGCUCAGUAACACGUGGCUAAUCUGCCCUUGGGAUAGGAACACCCCCGGGAAACUGGGGCUAAUUCCCAAUAGGUGAAGAACUCUGGAAUGAGUCUUCGCCAGAAAAGACGUUUACGUUAUGCUCGUAGGCGUCGCCCAAGGAUGAGGCCGCGACCGAUCAGGUUGUUGGUGAGGUAAUGGCUCACCAAGCCUUUUACCGGUGCGGGCCGUGAGAGCGGGAGCCCGGAGAUGGGCACUGAGACAAGGGCCCAGGCCCUACGGGGCGCAGCAGUCGCGAAAACUUUGCAAUACACGAAAGUGUGACAGGGCUAUCCCGAGUGCCAUCCGCUGAGGAAGGCUUUUACCCAGUCUAGAACGCUGGGGGAAUAAGGAGAGGGCAAGUCUGGUGUCAGCCGCCGCGGUAAUACCAGCUCUCCGAGUGGUGUGGAUGUUUAUUGGGCCUAAAGCAUCCGUAGCUGGCUGAGUUAGUCCCUUGUUAAAUCCACCGAAUUAAUCGUUGGAUUGCGGGGGAUACUGCUCGGCUAGGGGACGAGAGAGGCAGACGGUAUUUCUGGGGUAGGGGUGAAAUCCUAUAAUCCCAGGAGGACCACCAGUGGCGAAAGGCUGUCUGCUAGAACGCGCCCGACGGUGAGGGAUGAAAGCUGGGGGAGCGAACCGGAUUAGAUACCCGGGUAGUCCCAGCUGUAAACGAUGCA